rnacentral:rRNA from 1 species
ACUUAAAUUGAAGAGUUUGAUCAUGGCUCAGAUUGAACGCUGGCGGCAGGCCUAACACAUGCAAGUCGAGCGGUAGCACAGAGAGCUUGCUCUCGGGUGACGAGCGGCGGACGGGUGAGUAAUGUCUGGGAAACUGCCUGAUGGAGGGGGAUAACUACUGGAAACGGUAGCUAAUACCGCAUAAUGUCGCAAGACCAAAGUGGGGGACCUUCGGGCCUCAUGCCAUCAGAUGUGCCCAGAUGGGAUUAGCUAGUAGGUGGGGUAACGGCUCACCUAGGCGACGAUCCCUAGCUGGUCUGAGAGGAUGACCAGCCACACUGGAACUGAGACACGGUCCAGACUCCUACGGGAGGCAGCAGUGGGGAAUAUUGCACAAUGGGCGCAAGCCUGAUGCAGCCAUGCCGCGUGUGUGAAGAAGGCCUUCGGGUUGUAAAGCACUUUCAGCGGGGAGGAAGGCGAUAAGGUUAAUAACCUUGUCGAUUGACGUUACCCGCAGAAGAAGCACCGGCUAACUCCGUGCCAGCAGCCGCGGUAAUACGGAGGGUGCAAGCGUUAAUCGGAAUUACUGGGCGUAAAGCGCACGCAGGCGGUCUGUCAAGUCGGAUGUGAAAUCCCCGGGCUUAACCUGGGAACUGCAUUCGAAACUGGCAGGCUAGAGUCUUGUAGAGGGGGGUAGAAUUCCAGGUGUAGCGGUGAAAUGCGUAGAGAUCUGGAGGAAUACCGGUGGCGAAGGCGGCCCCCUGGACAAAGACUGACGCUCAGGUGCGAAAGCGUGGGGAGCAAACAGGAUUAGAUACCCUGGUAGUCCACGCCGUAAACGAUGUCGAUUUGGAGGUUGUGCCCUUGAGGCGUGGCUUCCGGAGCUAACGCGUUAAAUCGACCGCCUGGGGAGUACGGCCGCAAGGUUAAAACUCAAAUGAAUUGACGGGGGCCCGCACAAGCGGUGGAGCAUGUGGUUUAAUUCGAUGCAACGCGAAGAACCUUACCUGGUCUUGACAUCCACAGAACUUAGCAGAGAUGCUUUGGUGCCUUCGGGAACUGUGAGACAGGUGCUGCAUGGCUGUCGUCAGCUCGUGUUGUGAAAUGUUGGGUUAAGUCCCGCAACGAGCGCAACCCUUAUCCUUUGUUGCCAGCGGUUAGGCCGGGAACUCAAAGGAGACUGCCAGUGAUAAACUGGAGGAAGGUGGGGAUGACGUCAAGUCAUCAUGGCCCUUACGACCAGGGCUACACACGUGCUACAAUGGCAUAUACAAAGAGAAGCGACCUCGCGAGAGCAAGCGGACCUCAUAAAGUAUGUCGUAGUCCGGAUUGGAGUCUGCAACUCGACUCCAUGAAGUCGGAAUCGCUAGUAAUCGUAGAUCAGAAUGCUACGGUGAAUACGUUCCCGGGCCUUGUACACACCGCCCGUCACACCAUGGGAGUGGGUUGCAAAAGAAGUAGGUAGCUUAACCUUCGGGAGGGCGCUUACCACUUUGUGAUUCAUGACUGGGGUGAAGUCGUAACAAGGUAACCGUAGGGGAACCUGCGGUUGGAUCACCUCCUUACCUUAAAGAA